UCUUUUUUUUCUUUUUAGAUUCAGGAUACAAACACAAUCGUGGAGGCAAACGAAGCCAUUAUGCAGGCAGCAGAUACCCUGAGCAUUGUUGGAGCAUUAAGGCGUGUAACUACUCUGGAAGAGAGGGACUCCCUUGUGCAAUCUGCUGCAGACUUCUUUGUAAAUGGCCGAGUGUGCACUGCAUUGCAACAGUUUAUGGAAGGUUUGAAGACUCUUAAUGUGCUAGACGAGAUUCAGAAAAACCCUGCAGUCUUUCAAGAAUUGUUUGUCUGUGAGGAGAAACCACUCUUGGCAUGGGACCUGUACACACUUUUCCAAGUGUGUUUUUCUGUGCAAGGCAGCAAUAAAAGGAGGAUAGAAAAUCAAACCAUAUGCUACUGGAGAGACUGGUUGGUGGAUAUUGAAGAAGGAGAAUGCAGUCCCAUUACCCUUGAAAUGAUACUGGAGUUCGCUUCCGGAGCAUCCACGGUACCUCCACUGGGCGUUCCCCAUUGUCCACAAAUUGAAUU